GGUUGACCUCGGAUCAGGUAGGGAUACCCGCUGAACUUAAGCAUAUCAAUAAGCGGAGGAAAUCCCGCGGCCAUGGCGGCCGGGAGCAUGCGACGUCGGGCCCAAUUCGCCCUAUAGUGG
rnacentral:rRNA from 1 species